GCCCUCGUAGCUCAGGGGAUAGAGCAAGGGAUUUCUAAUCCCUUGGCCGUAGGUUCGAAUCCUACCGAGGGCG
rnacentral:tRNA from 4 species